GACGAACGCUGGCGGCGUGCUUAACACAUGCAAGUCGAACGGAAAGGCCCCUUUGGGGGUACUCGAGUGGCGAACGGGUGCGUAACACGUGAGUAACCUGCCCUUGACUUCGGGAUAACUUCAGGAAACUGGGGCUAAUACCGGAUAGGAAUCCUUGCUGCAUGGUGGGGGUUGGAAAGCUUCGGCGGUUUUGGAUGGACUCGCGGCUUAUCAGCUUGUUGGUGGGGUAGUGGCUUACCAAGGCUUUGACGGGUAGCCGGCCUGAGAGGGCGACCGGCCACAUUGGGACUGAGAUACGGCCCAGACUCCUACGGGAGGCAGCAGUGGGGAAUAUUGCACAAGGGGCGGAAGCCUGAUGCAGCAACGCCGCGUGCGGGAUGACGGCCUUCGGGUUGUAAACCGCUUUCAGCAGGGGCGAAGCUUGUGGUGACGGUACCUGCAGAAGAAGCACCGGCUAACUACGUG
rnacentral:rRNA from 1 species